AGCAGCCGCGGUAAUUCCAGCUCCAAUAGCGUAUAUUAAAGUUGUUGCAGUUAAAAAGCUCGUAGUUGAAUUUCGGGGUCAGCAGGUUGGUCGUGCCACUGGUAUGCACUGGCUUCGCUGAUUCCUCCUUCUUGAAGAACUGUAAUGUCAUUAAUUUGGUGUUGCAGGGAAACAGGACUGUUACUCUGAAAAAAUUAGAGUGUUUAAAGCAGGCAUUAGCUUGAAUACAUUAGCAUGGAAUAAUGAAAUAGGACGUUUGACCCUAUUUUGUUGGUUUCUAGGAUCGACGUAAUGAUUAAUAGGGAUAGUUGGGGGCAUUAGUAUUCAAUUGUCAGAGGUGAAAUUCUUGGAUUUAUUGAAGACUAACUACUGCGAAAGCAUUUGCCAAGGAUGUUUUCAUUAAUCAAGAACGAAAGUUAGGGGAUCGAAGACGAUCAGAUACCGUCGUAGUCUUAACCAUAAACUAUGCCGACUAGGGAUCGGAUGAUGUUAUUUUUAAUGACUCAUUC
rnacentral:rRNA from 1 species